CUCGUGUAGCUUUGCGCGAAAACCCAAACAAACAAACAUGAAAACCUGAACAAGAACCGGUGACAAGAUGAUUAUCCUCUAACCAUGGCUGUCACCUGUAUCAUGAUGGAUGACAGAUACUUCUGGUACAGGGAAGGAAGGGAUAGGUCGACACGUGACUUAAGGCAUGUGUACUCUCAACCCCAAAGGUUCUGUCGUGUAUUAACAUUACAAUUUUCUGUACUAUAAUUAUAGUUGAAGCAGAGAAGAAGAAAAAGAUACAGGCUUGAAUGACUUUAUUUUCGGUUGAUAAAGACCGUAGAAUUUUUAUUUAUAAAGAAGAGACUAAGGAAUAAUCGUGAAUAACAAGUAGAUGAAACUACAACGUGACAAAAUCUGAAAAAUACAAAAAAAAAUGUUAAACUCGCAAUAAGGAAAAAAAUUAUGGUCAACGUCUCGAUCAAAUAAAGCCUUUGACCAAAAAACAACUC